AGUAAGAUCCCGUGUAUACUGUAAACUGCCAUAACAUAAAAACUAUAAUAGCUAGAGCGGUCUUUUUUUAGCUGAAAGUUGAGACUGUCUCGCCUUUCAGCACUGUACAAGUCGAUGAUGUCAUCGUGUUGCGUUAAGUGUGCUGCACAGCACACCGCGGCUAUGUUAACUCACAGUGACCUUGAAGCAGCGUGGGAGAGUUGAAGAAUUUAACCAGUUAAAAUGGAUUCAUGGAUAUUUAAUCAAUAGUUGUGGCUCCUCUGGUCAUUUAGUUCUUUGUGUGCCGGAGACAUUUGCUGAAUAAGGAAAUAAAAACUUAAAAUGACAAAAAAAAUUAGGGGAAAACACUUGUUUUGUGUCUUAUUAAUUAUUAAUGAUUCAUUGAUUGUUGGUAUUUUAACUUUUGGUAAAGGAAAACACACAAUUUCCAGGCAGCCCCAGUCUGGAGAAGUGAUGGUGACAUCAGCCGUUAAAAAUAAAUAAUACUCUGAGGUUUUUAUGAAUAAUUUGUACUUUUACUUGAGUAUUUCUCUAACACCAGUACUUUUACUUGUAAAUGAGUAAUAUUUUAGCAAUGUAACAGUACUUGUACUUGAGUACAGAUUUUCAGAAUUCUUUCCACCACUGCUGAAAACUGUAAAUGCUCAUUGUAACAUGUUAAUUAAAAUGCUUAAGCAACAGACGUGACAUGAAGAUUGUAUUGUUUAUUUUAUGCAUCAGGAGUCCUACACAGAUAGUUUGGGAUGACAUCAGCUGACACUGAGGAACAGCCAUCUACCUCCACUGCUCAUACCAGUAGGCCAGUAUUUGAACUCGAGGAGGGACAGUCUGCUGGCACCACAUCUCCCCAGGAAGAUACUUUAGAGAGACCUACCAGUAUAUGUGAACUUGAUGAGGGACAGCCAGCUGCCACGUCUCCCCAACAAGAUAUGUCAGGUAAGUUUUGCACAAGUGUGUGUGUGUGUGUGUGUGUGUGUGUGUGUGUGUGUGUGUGUGUGUGUGUGUGUGUGUGUGUGUGUGUGUGUGUGUGU